CUGCAGAGGAUCUGAGCAGUGUCUGUAUGUGCCUGAAGAGGGGAUGUCCAGAGGGUGGAAGCCAGGCUCUUCUCGGUGGUGCCAAGCAAUGGGAUGAGCAGAAAUUGGAAUGGAGGAAUUCCCACCUGAACAUGAGGCAAAACUUCUUUACUGUGACGGUGACUGAGCACUGGAACAGGUUGCCCUGAGAGAUCUGGGGCUGAGACCUGGCCUUGGAGACCCUCCAGCUGGAAGAGGAGAAGGAGGAGAAAAAGAAGGAACCCGUCCUGCAGCAGGAGUGACCUGUUCCCCUGGCAGGAGGAGGAAUCUGCUCCCAGCUUCCCCCCGGGCUGCUGCUGAAGGCGAACACGUGCUGGG